CGGCAUAUUACAAGGGCAACCUCGUGGCCGUGAAGCACCUCAACCGCAAGCGCAUCGAGCUGACGCGCAAGGUCUUGUUCGAGCUGAAGCACAUGCGGGAUGUCCAAAACGAGCAUCUGACCCGCUUCAUCGGCGCCUGCACCGACCCCCCGAACAUUUGCAUCCUGACCGAGU